rnacentral:rRNA from 1 species
GCAAGUCGAACGAGAACGUCCCUUCGGGGGCUAGUAAAGUGGCGAACGGGUGAGUAACGCGUAAGUAUCUACCUCGUGGUGGAGGAUACCUCGGAGAAAUUUGGGUUAAUCCUGCAUAUACUUUUCGAAGGAAAGGCGGCCUCUUGCUGCCGCCAUGAGAUGAGCUUGCGUCUUAUUAGUUUGUUGGUGGGGUAAUGGCCUACCAAGGCGAUGAUGAGUAGCCGGCCUGAGAGGGUGAAC